GACGAACGCUGGCGGCGUGCUUAACACAUGCAAGUCGAGCGGAAAGGCCCCUUCGGGGGUACUCGAGCGGCGAACGGGUGAGUAACACGUGAGUAAUCUGCCCUUGGCUUCGGGAUAGCCACCGGAAACGGUGAUUAAUACCGGAUAUGACCACUUCCCGCAUGGGAAGGUGGUGGAAAGUUUUUUCGGCCAGGGAUGUGCUCGCGGCCUAUCAGCUUGAUGGUGAGGUAAUGGCUCACCAUGGCUUCGACGGGUAGCCGGCCUGAGAGGGUGACCGGUCACACUGGGACUGAGACACGGCCCAGACUCCUACGGGAGGCAGCAGUGGGGAAUAUUGGACAAUGGGCGGAAGCCUGAUCCAGCAACGCCGCGUGAGGGAUGACGGCCUUCGGGUUGUAAACCUCUUUCAGCAGGGACGAAGCGCAAGUGACGGUACCUGCAGAAGAAGCACCGGCCAACUACGUGCCAGCCGCCGCGGUAAUAC
rnacentral:rRNA from 1 species